AGAGGACUGUCACUGUGGACACCAAAAUG
rnacentral:piRNA from 1 species